rnacentral:rRNA from 1 species
GGGUGGGGAAUAUUGCACAAUGGGGGAAACCCUGAUGCAGCCAUGCCGCGUGUGUGAAGAAGGCCUUCGGGUUGUAAAGCACUUUCAGCGAGGAGGAAAGGUUGGUAGCGAAUAACUGCCAGCUGUGACGUUACUCGCAGAAGAAGCACCGGCUAACUCCGUGCCAGCAGCCGCGGUAAUACGGAGGGUGCAAGCGUUAAUCGGAAUUACUGGGCGUAAAGCGCACGCAGGCGGUUGGAUAAGUUAGAUGUGAAAGCCCCGGGCUCAACCUGGGAAUUGCAUUUAAAACUGUCCAGCUAGAGUCUUGUAGAGGGGGGUAGAAUUCCAGGUGUAGCGGUGAAAUGCGUAGAGAUCUGGAGGAAUACCGGUGGCGAAGGCGGCCCCCUGGACAAAGACUGACGCUCAGGUGCGAAAGCGUGGGGAGCAAA